rnacentral:tRNA from 3 species
CGCGGGAUGGAGCAGUCUGGUAGCUCGUCGGGCUCAUAACCCGAAGGUCGGAGGUUCAAAUCCUUCUCCCGCUA